rnacentral:tRNA from 5 species
GGAUGCAUAGCUCAGUUGGUAGAGCAGCUGACUCUUAAUCAGCGGGUCCUAGGUUCGAGCCCUAGUGCAUCCACCA